UACAGAGACCUCAAGCGUUAUCCGGAAUCAUUGGGCGUAAAGCGUACCGAUAGGUGGUUUUACAAGUCAGAAGUGAAAUCCCUCAGCUUAACUGGGAGACUGUCUUUUGAAACUGUAAAACUAGAGGGGCAAAGAGGAAGCUGGAACGAACGGUGUAGUAGUGAAAUGCGUUGAUAUCGUUCGGAACACCAAUAGCGUAGGCAGGCUUCUGGGUGCCACCUGACACUGCUAGGACGAAAGCGUGGGGAGCGAAUGGG
rnacentral:rRNA from 1 species